GAGAAGACUGGUGGGCUACAGUCCAUGGGGUCACAAAGAGUCGGACACUACAGUGUGACUAACACACACCAUCCUUACAGUGUCAGAACCUCUGAUCCAACAUUGCCAUUUUGAGUGAUUACUUUCGCUUGAAUUCAGUGAGUAGAGUUAUCUAAAGAUUAUUGCCACUGAAGAGUAGUCCUAUUCAAAGGGAUUUUUUUCAUAAAAGAUUUUGAAAUGUUUAUAUAGUCAAAAAAUAUGCCUAUGUAUAUUUUUAAAUGUCUUCUAAGUUUUAAAAAUCAUAUUGAGGAAGAUCUUCCCAAUUCUAAAAUAAUGCACAACUCUUAAUUGUCUUUUUUCUUUUAUUACAUUGAAAUCCUUUGGGGAUUUGAGAGUGAGGAUGAGAUGGUUAGGUAGCAUCAUCGACUCAAUGGACAUGAAGUUGAGCAAGCUCCAGGAGACAUGAAGGACAGGAGAGCCUGGCGUGCUGCCAGCCAUGGGGUCACAGAGUUGGACCUGACUUAGCUACUGAACAGCAACAACAAUGGACUGAGGUAGGGAUCUAGCUUUGUUUCCUUCAAGCAGUUGUAGCAGCGUCAUUUAUUAAAUAUAUCUCUUUUCCCCUGUGGUUGGGGAAAUACACAUUGUACAUUUUUCAUACCCUAUCAUUUCACUCAGACGUUCUGUACAACUUUAUGAUGGAAAAGAGGGCAGUUCCAGGUUUGUGUGGCUCCUGGGCACUGCACUUACAGGUUGAGCCAUUGGCUGGAGUUAGGGAGGCAGGGUCUGGUCUUAUCUUUCCUAUUGUUACAAUGUUGUCCAGUAAAUGAAUGGAAGGAGAGUCUAGGCUAUUCAAGAUGGAAAAGACCUCACAGAAAAACAGAAUUUUCUUCAUUUUAAGAAAAAGAGAUUUUGUUUCUCAUAAGCGGCCCCUGGCACUGUUUCAGUGCCAGGGGUUUGGAUUCAGUUGAAACUUCACACUUGAUAAAGAAAUGCUUUCAGCAACUCAGAAUAAUCCGGAGGGGAGGUUUAGCCCUCCCCUUCCUUCUUCUGUUUCCCAUGCCCCUUGUUCUUAGCUCGUUUUCUCUCCUCAUUUGCCCCUGUAUUGAAAAGAACCUUGUAGCGUUUAAAAGUGCUUCCUGCAUGGCCUUAUUUUCAAAAUUUUCACUGGAGACGUUUGGUGUGUUUUAGGUGAGGCCACGCUGUCUCCCCUUGGCUCCUGGCCGCUCUCAUUUUCUCCAUUGACUUGCUUUGCUCUUCUCCCUCCUCUCAAACCCCUGUCCUUUCACCUUCUGUUUCUCUCUUUCCGCUAAACUUCCUCUCCUCUCAACCUUCCCACCUCCCCCACCACCAGCAGCCUUUCUCCCCAAACACACCACAGGAGAGAGGAGAGUGGUGGGAGGUUUAAGUUCAUUACCCAUAAAGUAGCUUUUCUUAUCAAUGCAUAUUCCUUUGUUUCAAUGAAAGAAGAAAAGUAAAAAUCUAAAACCCAUCACUUUGUAGUUAGCCCAGUUUUCCUGUCUGCCCUAGUGUGUCUUAGAAGUCUCACUCAGAUAUUUAUCACCUUGAUUGUAAAAUGUAGCAAACCCAAAGCUAAUGCCUUUCAGAGAGUAGCUCUCUUUAAAAAACAAAUUUCUCUAUUUUUUUUUAAUUGGCAUAUAAUCAGAGAGUAGCUCUUAAUAUACAACUUUUCACAUUUGUGUGCCCUUGUCCCAUAGGGGUAGUAGGCAUAUCGUGCCCAGGCUUUCAGGUAAGGAGUGAGCACAGAUUAAAGGGACUUCCAAUCUGUUUUUAUAAAAUUGUGUUUUCUACAUGAGUCUCUCCCACAAAAGGGUUUAGACAUAAGUAAAAAUCUGCGCAGUCUUUGUGAAAGUAAUUUUAAGCCUGAUGUUUUUGGGGGAAAGUUACAGAAUGCUUCUACGUAAUAGAGGUUAAACAGGUAAACUAAAGACAUUUACUCUGGUUUUGAUCAGAAUGAAAAGAAGAAGAAAAAUCUGAAGUAGCAACUUGGAGAGAAAUAUAACAGUCAAGUUAGCCUGAAGUUCUGGAGCUGAAGUGGUAGAGCAUAACAGACUCAGCUGAGGUCUGACUCAGAGAUAAGAAAGAGCUCUGAGUUAGGGAAGACUUAUUCUAAGGAAGACUAUUGAUAAGACGAGGAUUACAGUAAACUGUGACAGAUAUGUGACGAGUGAAUGUUAAUGAGAAGACAUCAAAUUGUAUCUUAGGUUUUUGUUUUUUUUUUUACAGCACAGUAUGUGACCUUUCUGUAAUUUCUUGAUGCCUAUAGAACAGCAUUACAUUAGGUAGUUUCAUAGUUUUUGGUUUAAAAAUAAAAGAAUGAAAACUUA